AAAUCUGUAGCAGUGCGGAAAGAGAUGAUGGAAAUUAAAAAAUAAUAAUAAUAAAUUAGAAUUACAAAUGAGGUUUUCAAGGGGCAGCUGUUACCCACUCUGCUCACACGCUCGCUUUCUGAAGCGCCGGAGCGCAUCUGCGCAGGGCGAGGUAUCUGACAGCAGCAGAAGCGAUCCUGCGGGGGCCGUGUACCGAACACUCACCUUUGGGCCAGGAGGAGGGCACCGGGGCCAGGUCGCUGCCUGCUCCCACUUGCCAGACCUGAGGGAUGCUCUGCGUGGCCCCAGCCCUUCCCACGUAAGCCUUUCCUUGGGGGGGAAAGGGUUCCCCCAGCUCCAGCCCUGAGGAACCCCUUCCCACUCAUCCCUCCCCAGUCACCGCUCUCCAGGCUGCCUUCCCGCAGCUCCUUCAGCCUUUCCCAGCAGUUGUUUUAGGAGGCAGCCCUCUGUCCCUGGGUACAACCCAUGCCCACUUCCCUCCCCAUGAAGGAUCAAGGGCUUUCCCGGAGAUACAGGCACGAGCUGGGUGCUUCUCAGGCUGUUUAUUUUGCGUCCUUGCGGUCUCGAUACAGCGCAGGUGAGCGACACUUUACACGGCGGGGAUGGGACCAGGGGGGUGGCAUCGCCCGGCCAGCAGCUGAUGUGGCUGAGGAGCUUCUCCAGCCUCGUUAGGGGAAGGGGAGCCUAGCAAACGAGCAGCUAAUGAGGAAGGGAAGGCAAAGUGAAGCCGAGCCCAUGCCCUCCCCAAGGGAAGGAAUCAGACUGAACCACCUGCGCGUCCUGCCCAAACUGCUCCAGUUAUCUUGCGGCACCAGCAGCACCCAGACACCACGGGGGCAGCAGCAUCAGGACUUUGAAUAAUUUUUAAACUAUUAAAAUAAAAACGUGGCAUAGGGGACAUCUUCCAAGAGCUGGUCUUCUACCCAGGUACCUGGUGGCUCAGUUCUGACUUCACCCCGUGCGCUCACUCCCUCCUACCUCUCCUCUGAGCCACCCACGGUCACGUUUCUUGGGAACAAAUACAUCUUGAACUGCACCUUACUCGGGACCGAGUACCAGGUCCUCAAGGCCCCUUCCUGCCAUCCCACAGGAGAUGGAGGUGCCAGAGAGCUUGGAGAAACAUCUGAACUCUGUGUGUCUCAUUCAUUUUGCUUGCAGAGGAAGGAAAUGAGAGGUUAUGCGAGGAUGAGAUACUUCGGUCACGGAGUUUAAGGGGGAUCCACCCCAGGGCAUGCUUGUACCCUGCCCUUUCAUCACCAGCAUCCCACAGAGGGCUGCAUAAACACCCCAAAAAGCCUCCUUCCCCCCAGUCCUUUUCCUGUGCUUUUUUGCCAGAAAUGUUUUGUUUUCUUUUGUUUUUUUUUCAGUACUAAGCUCACCCCCUUUUGCCACCUCCUUCCCAUGCGCUCAGCUCCCUGAACUCCACUUGAGCUUACCGGGGCAUCAAAUCCCAGAUGCAGCCUUCCAGUAAAACCAAGAGGAAACACAGAGCAAAACGACCGACUUCACUAAGCAAAUACAAGGUGCACAGCUUUAUUUACUCUACUUUUUCUUUAAUCAGGAAGCGAAAAGGAAGCACAGCUGCGACCCUGCCGAGGCAGCUCCGCCUGUGCCCGAGCGCGCGGAGCACAGCUGCCGUCUCACCUAGCCAGCCCCUGCUGCAAGCACAGCACGUGGAGCACGAAUGGAGGACAAAGACACGACACUGGGACAAGCCGAGCCUCUGCAAAGCCCAAGGGGUGCACGGUAGAGAAAAGCACUCUCUGGUCUGACAUUAAUUCCAGCUCUGUGAUAAAACGCUUCGGUGCCAGAGAAAACACAGUACCAAGGAACAAGACAACUGCAGCAGCCCCAGGAAGGAAAGAUGGUGAAUAAAUUAGGUGAAGCGGUUUCUCCUUAUAUAAUGGGCAAGGAACAGCUGCUAGGAGCAACAGUAGGAGGUGUGUAGGAGGGAGAUGGCAAGACAAGAAUAGGAAAAGGAAAAAAGGAAAAGGAAAAAAGGAAAAGGAAAAGGAGGACAGACAGACGCCUGGGGACAGAGGGCAUGCAGCCAGGAGGGCAGAGGAGGCUGGGAGAGACCAGGGCUCAAGCAGUGCUGGUGGAGGGGAAGGCUGGCGUGGACAGGAGUGCUUCAGGGAGGUGAAGAUGAGGAAGAGGAGGGACGUCCACAGGGACAGGGCUGAGAAGGAGAGAGGGGUUUGGAGGGAGAAGGAGGCCCACGGUGAGGGAGAGUUUGCAGGGACAAGUGAGAGGCACUCCAG